UGUAUCAAUCCUAGAAUGCUAUUUGAUGUGUGCUGCAGCUAAUUAUUUGUUGCUGCCAAUUUGGUUUUUUGGCUGGCUCUGGUUGGUAAAUAUGAAGAUAUAAGAUUCCAACACCUAGUUUAUGGUGUAGUGACUUUGCUGGAAGCCGUGGAUGAUCCAUGGGGAUGCAAGGUUUGUGAUGUGUUGGAGGAAUGAUAGAAUUAGUUGUUUCGUUG
rnacentral:lncRNA from 1 species